AGACCUAGUGGCGAACGGGUGCGUAACACGUGAGAAACCUGCCCCGGUCUCUGGAAUAACAGUUGGAAACGACUGCUAAUACCGGAUGCCGUCGGACCAUCGCAUGAUGGAUCGACGAAAGGGUUACCGGACCGGGAGGGUCUCGCGGCCUAUCAGCUUGUUGGUGAGGUAACGGCUCACCAAGGCAUCGACGGGUAGCUGGUCUGAGAGGAUGGUCAGCCACACUGGGACUGAGACACGGCCCAGACUCC
rnacentral:rRNA from 1 species